rnacentral:tRNA from 1 species
GGACUGUGGCUCAGUUGGUAGAGCAUGGUGUGUGCAACGCCAGGGUUGUGGGUUCGAUUUCCACGGGGUCCA